rnacentral:rRNA from 1 species
UACGAACCGUCCAAACGUUACUCGGAAUCACUGGGCUUAAAGGGUGCGUAGGCCGCGCGGAGGGUGGGAUGUGAAAUCCCCCGGCUCAACCGGGGAAUAGCGUCCCAAACCGCCGUGCUCGAGGGGGACAGAGGUGAGCGGAACUGAUGGUGGAGCGGUGAAAUGCGUUGAUAUCAUCAGGAACACCAGUGGCGAAAGCGGCUCACUGGGUCUUUCCUAACGCUGAGGCACGAAAGCUAGGGGAGCGAACGGG